UAAAGGGAGAAGCUGGUAGAACUAGGGGUCUUAGCAGAUGGCUACUCAGGUUGUGGAGUUUGUGGCAUUCCUCUCCAUCUUUCUUAUACCAUGGGGAUAUAAACUUCUGGUUUAAAUUGGUAUUAUUCCUGAAAGUCCGGUGUCAGAAUACAACAUGUCAACACAUAAAUAAAAUAGCUACUGGAAAGCACCAUGGAAAGAUAUGGAAUGCAAAUACCAAGCUUACCUGACACAGGACAGGAAUGGUGCAUACAGGCAUGGGGCCUUAUCAGGUGAAUAUGUACACUUUUAACAUCAUUAAAUAUCCCCCCAGUCAGUUCUUGGACUCUGCAAAACAGACAACAUGAAACAGGACCAGUUCUGGAGAAAACUGCAGUAGAAAGUACCAGAAGCAGCCUUCAUGAUGAAAUUCAGGCAACUGAUUAAAGGUACAGUCGAGCUAACAGUCAGUGUUGAUGCAGGUUGGCAGAAACCAGGCAGUGGGCCAUCCUUUGACAGCCUCUCUGGUCAUUGCUCCAUGAUUGAAUCUCAGACAGGCAAAGUCAUGAAAUCAGAACGAAAUGUUGCACAAUUUUUGAAAAUGCUACUACAAAUGGAAAAGACCUCAAAGAUCAUGACUGCAGAAAAAACUCUAAUCACCAUGAGAGGAAAGUCAACCUGUUUCAAUUUCAAGUGCACUUGGUUCUUUUUUAAGCUUUAUGGAGAAGCAAGGAAUAUAUUUUUAGUUGGCCACAAUAUCAAAGGUUUUGAUUUUCAUGUUCUUUUUCAUACUCUAGAUUCUUGUUCACUGUUUUAUCGAGUGUCAAAUGUGUACAAGGUUUUUUUUUUUUGAGAUAUUACCAGAUUUCUAUUCAAACUUGUCCAUCCCAGUUUGUG